rnacentral:snRNA from 1 species
UUGCUUUGGCAGCACAUAUACUAAACUUGGAACAAUACAAAGAAGAUUAGCAUGGCCCAUGUGCAAGGAUGACAUGCAAAUUUGUGAAGCGUUUCAUAUUUUU